rnacentral:rRNA from 1 species
UAGUGGCGGACGGGUGAGUAACGCGUGAGCAACCUGCCUUUCAGAGGGGGAUAACACAUGGAAACGUGUGCUAAUACCGCAUAACACAUAGAGACUGCAUGGUUUCUAUGUCAAAGGAGCAAUCCACUGAAAGAUGGGCUCGCGUCCGAUUAGGCAGUUGGUGAGGUAACGGCUCACCAAACCGACGAUCGGUAGCCGGACUGAGAGGUUGAACGGCCACAUUGGAACUGAGAAACGGUCCAGACUCCUACGGGAGGCAGCAGUGGGGAAUAUUGGGCAAUGGGGGAAACCCUGACCCAGCGACGUCGCGUGAGGGAAGAAGGUCUUCGGAUUGUAAACCUUUGUCAACAGGGAAGAAGCAAGUGACGGUACCUGAAGAGGAAGCCACGGCUAACUACGUGCCAGCAGCCGCGGUAAUACGUAGGUGGCGAGCGUUAUCCGGAAUUACUGGGUGUAAAGGGUGUGUAGGCGGGGAUGCAAGUCAGAUGUGAAAUCCAUGGGCUCAACCUAUGGUGUGCAUUUGAAACUGCGUUUCUUGAGUGUGGGAGAGGUAAGCGGAAUUCCUAGUGUAGCGGUGAAAUGCGUAGAUAUUAGGAGGAACACCAGUGGUGAAG